rnacentral:rRNA from 1 species
CAAUAGCGUAUAUUUAAGUUGUUGCAGUUAAAAAGCUCGUAGUUGGAUUUCGGGUGGGUACCGCCGGUCUCCCAUUGGGUAUGUACUGGCGUGGCCCGCCUUGCUGUCGGGGACGGUCUCCUGGGCUUAAUUGCUCGGGAAUCGGAGUCGACGAUGUUACUUUGAGUAAAUUAGAGUGUUCAAAGCAAGCCUACGCUCUGAAUAUGAUAGCAUGGGAUAACACGACAGGACUCUGGCCUAUCGUGUUGGUCUGUAGGACCGGAGUAAUGAUUAAGAGGGACAGUCGGGGGCAUUCGUAUUCCAUUGUCAGAGGUGAAAUUCUUGGAUUUAUGGAAGACGAACAUCUGCGAANGNAUUUGCNAAGGAUGUUUNCAUUG